rnacentral:rRNA from 1 species
UGCAUCCUACGGGGGGCAGCAGUGGGGAAUAUUGCACAAUGGGGGAAACCCUGAUGCAGCGACGCCGCGUGAGUGAAGAAGCGUUUCGGCGCGUAAAGCUCUGUCAGCGGGGAAGAAACACGGUUCGCGAGAGCCGCGGACGGUACCCGACCAAGAAGCCCCGGCUAACUACGUGCCAGCAGCCGCGGUAAUACGUAGGGGGCAAGCGUUAUCCGGAUUCACUGGGUGUAAAGGGAGCGUAGACGGCAGAGCAAGUCUGAAGUGAAAGCCCGCGGCCCAACUGCGGGACUGCUUUGGAAACUGCC